GAGGUGGGGGACAACAGUUGGAAACGACUGCUAAUACCGCAUAAUGUCUACGGACCAAAGGGGGCUUCGGCUCUCGCCUUUAGAUUGGCCCAAGUGGGAUUAGCUAGUUGGUGAGGUAAUGGCUCACCAAGGCAACGAUCCCUAGCUGGUUUGAGAGGAUGAUCAGCCACACUGGGACUGAGACACGGCCCAGACUCCUACGGGAGGCAGCAGUGGGGAAUAUUGCACAAUGGGCGCAAGCCUGAUGCAGCCAUGCCGCGUGUGUGAAGAAGGCCUUCGGGUUGUAAAGCACUUUCAGUCAGGAGGAAAGGUUAGUAGUUAAUACCUGCUAGCUGUGACGUUACUGACAGAAGAAGCACCGGCUAACUCCGUGCCAGCAGCCGCGGUAAUACGGAGGGUGCGAGCGUUAAUCGGAAUUACUGGGCGUAAAGCGUACGCAGGCGGUUUGUUAAGCGAGAUGUGAAAGCCCCGGGCUCAACCUGGGAACUGCAUUUCGAACUGGCAAACUAGAGUGUGAUAGAGGGUGGUAGAAUUUCAGGUGUAGCGGUGAAAUGCGUAGAGAUCUGAAGGAAUACCGAUGGCGAAGGCAGCCACCUGGGUCAACACUGACGCUC
rnacentral:rRNA from 1 species